rnacentral:rRNA from 1 species
GACGAACGCUGGCGGCGUGCUUAACACAUGCAAGUCGAACGGUGACGAGGAGCUUGCUCCUCCGAUCAGUGGCGAACGGGUGAGUAACACGUGAGUAACCUGCCCCAGACCCUGGGAUAACAGUUGGAAACAGCUGCUAAUACCGGAUACGAGACGGAGAGGCAUCUCUACCGUCUGGAAAGAUUUAUCGGUCUGGGAUGGACUCGCGGCCUAUCAGCUUGUUGGUGAGGUAAAGGCUCACCAAGGCGACGACGGGUAGCCGGCCUGAGAGGGCGACCGGCCACACUGGGACUGAGACACGGCCCAGACUCCUACGGGAGGCAGCAGUGGGGAAUAUUGCACAAUGGGCGCAAGCCUGAUGCAGCAACGCCGCGUGAGUGAAGAAGGCCUUCGGUUGUAAACUCUGUCCUAUGGGAAGAAACGAAAUAGACGGUACCAUGGGAGGAAGCCCGGCUAACUACGUG